AACGUAGGUCCCGAGCGUUAUCCGGAUUUACUGGGCGUAAAGCGUGUUCAGGCGGUCUAGCAAGUCGGGCAUGAAAUCUCUCGGCUCAACCGGGAGGGGUUGUCCGAUACUGCUGGGCUUGAGGGCAGCAGAGGGUGGUGGAAUUCCGGGUGUAGUGGUGAAAUGCGUAGAUAUCCGGAGGAACACCAGUGGCGAAGGCGGCCUCCUGGGCUGUACCUGACGCUCAAACACGAAAGCUAGGGGAGCGAACGGG
rnacentral:rRNA from 1 species